rnacentral:rRNA from 1 species
ACUAGCCCUGAAAAUGGAUGGCGCUGGAGCGUCAGGCCCAUACCCGGCCGGCGCUGAGAGCCGCGGGGGCAAAGUCAGGCGAGUAGGAGGGCUGCUGCGGUACGCAAAGAAGCCCGGGGCGAGGGCCCGGGUGGAGCCGCCUCAGGUGCAGAUCUUGGUGGUAGUAGCAAAUAUUCAAACAGGAACUUUGAAGGAUGAAGUGGAGAAGGGUUCCAUGUGAACAGAAGUUGAACAUGGGUCAGUCGGUCCUAAGAGAUGGCCGAGCGCUGGUCGGAAAGGGAUGGUCCAUGGCCUCUGUUGCCCUCAGCCGAUCAAAAGGGAGUCGGAGAUGGGCGCCCUUGCGGUGUCCAGUGCGGUAACACAAAUGAUCCUAGAGAAGCCGGCGGGAGCCGCAGGGAGAGUUAUUAUCUUUGUGAAGGGCAGGGCACCCUGGAAGGGGUUUGCCCUGAGAAAGGGGCCCGAGCCUUGGAAAGCAUUGCAGUUCUGGCAGCAUCCGGUGAGCUCUCGUUGGUCCUUGAAAAUCUGGGUGAAUCUCGUGCCAGGCUGUACCCAUAUCCGCAGCAGGUCUCCAAGGCGGACAACCUCUGGCAUGUCAGAACAAUGUAGGUACGGGAAGUCAGCAAGUUAGAUCCGUAACUUUGGGAUAAGGAUUGGCUCUAAGGGCUGGGUCGGUCUGGCUGGGGCUCGUGCAGCAGGGCAGGGUACACCAUGGCUGGAUGAGCCGUCUUCCCCCCCAGCCCCGAAGUGGGGAGGCACUGCCUCUGGAUGCGAGCCUGGCCAUUCCUGUGGAUCACCCCAGCUGCAGUGUUCGCCUCUCUCGUUCCCCCUCCUGUAGUUCAGGGCCGGCAUUCUGCCUCAGCCAACACCUAGCAGCGGACUUGGAACUGGUGCGGACCAGGGGAAUCUGACUGUUUAAUUAAAACAAAGCAUUGCGAAGGCCCGUGUCAUGAUGCCUACCCCAGAGCAUCCAGACCAAGUCCAUCAACCCCGGAAGCAGGCAUCAUGUUACCCAGAGAAAGCCCAGCAACCCCUGUUAGGGGCUAUAUGGGUACAGUCCGGGCGUCUAUAGCGCCCGGCUCAUAUGGGGCAUCUGUCCGGGCGCCAUAGGCGCCCGGCUAAUAUGUUAAAACUUACCUGAUGCAGACCAUGCUACAAGAGAUCCAAGCCCAUGUGAGGCUUGGAAGGGACUACUUUACCUUAGGGACUAUUUUGUUACUCGGAGGUGGUUGUGGAGGAAUACUUACCUGGGACUACUUUGGAGGCUAUUUAAACCACACCCGAAGAGCAGCACACGCUUCGCGUUAUUCUGCAUCCUGCAGCGUAACGCUCACCGUGCCUGCAAUCAGCAUCCAGCAUCUUGCCACGCCCGCCUCGAGUCCGGAGCGCCUAGAAAGAAGGGAAAGAAGAAGAAAGGUUAGAACAAGAACAUUAUUGGGUUUCUUACCUGAUUCCGGAUUCAUCGCAUCUUUGAACAAGAAACAGACUUUAUUUUAAACGCGUCGCAGCGCCGCGCCAUACUCACCGUUCCUCGCAUCAUCUCUACGAUCCGGCGCUGUCUCCAUCAAUAUGUUGCCACAUUUCAGCACCUAAGGGGGACAAGAAAACAACAACGUGAGCACUAUGCAUCACGUUGGUGGAGACCGUGGCUGCCCAGUUCCGCUCGACACCCCCAGGUGAGCGUAACAGCCCAUGGAGGGUGUUGACACGAUGUGAUUCCUGACAAGUGCUCUGAAAGUCAGUGAAGAAAUUCAAUGAAGCGUGGGUAAACGGCUGGGGUAACUAUGACUCUUAAGGUAGCCUUUAAGGUAGCCAAAUGCUUCGUCAUCUAAUUAGUCAAGUGAAUGAAUGAGAUUCUCACUGUCCCUACCUACUAUCUAGCGAAACCACAGCCAAGGGAACAAGCUUGGCAGAAUCAUCAGGGAAAGAAGACCCGGUUGAAGUUGACUCUAGUCUGGCACUGUGAAGAGACAUGAGAGGUAGGAUAAGUGGGAGGCCCUCCGGCUGCUGGUGAAAUACCACUACUCUUAUCAUUUUUCCACUUACCCAGUGAGUCAGGGGGCAAGCCCCGUGGGGCUCUCGCCUCUGGCUCCAAGUGCCCGGCACCUGCCGGGCACAACCCGCUUCGGGGACAGUGGCAGGUGGGGAGUUUGACUGGGGUGGUACACCUGUCAAAGGAUAACGCAGGUGUCCUAAGGCGAACACAGGGAGGACAGAAACCUCCUGUGGAGCAGAAGGCGAAAGCUAGCUUGAUUGAAAUUUUUUAGUAUGAAUACAGACCGUGAAAGUGGGGCCUCACGAUCCUGCUGACUUUUUGUGUUUCAAGCAGGAGGUGUCAGAAAAGUUUCCACAGGGAUAACUGGCUUGUGGGGGCCAAGCCUUCAUAGCAACGUCGCUUUUUGAUCCUUCGAUGUCGACUCUUCCUAUCAUUGAAACAGAAUUCACCAAGCGUCGGAUUGUUCACCCACUAAUAGGGAACGUGGAGUGGAUUUAGACCAUUGUGAGACAGGUUAGUUUUACCCUACUGAUGAUGUGUUGUUGCAAUAGUAAUCCUGCUCAGUACGAGAGGAACCGUGGGUUCAGACAUUUGGUGUGCAUGCUUGGCUGAAGAGCCAAUGGGGCGAAGCUACCAUCUGUGGGAUUAUGAGUGAACCCCUCCAAGUCAGAAAUCCUCCCCCACAGACAUUGAUACCGCAGCGCUGUCGAGCAUCGGUUGGCUUACGAUAGCCGGCCUCGGGGGCCGGUGUGUAGAGGUGGACAGAAGGGGGCCACCUCUCUCCUGUAGUGCACCACAUGUUUGUGGGGAAUCUGCUGCUAAAUCAUUCGUAGACCACCUGAUUCUGGUUCAGGGUUUUCGUAAGUAGCAGGGCAGCUACCUCGCUGCAAUCUAUUGGAAGUCAUCCUCUGA